AUGUAGUACCAAUCAGGGUCAUAUGGAGCAAGCUCUUUGAGUUUACCAGUCUUGACGAGAUCAGUCCACUCAGGGAGCUCCAUCUGCAUAAAGCAAAGGUAAUAAGCAAAAACAGACGAGCACAAUAACCAUAAUAUUCAACUGACGCUUCAAAGAAAUUGCAGCAGUAACAUUGCCUGGAAUCCCAGAAUCUAACUAUAAAGAGUAGGAUAUACCCUUUAUGCUAGGUCUAUAAAGCCAGUUAAAGCACAAUGUCCACUUCACAAAAGAAAUAACUUGCAGUAAAAUAGUUCAGAAUUUGCUCUUAAAUAUAGCAAACAAUGAACUCAUUCAAGAUGAACAAUUAGAAUAUACAAACCUAAAACAAAAAUUAUCCUUAGGUAUCCCUUCUCUGCAGACUUAAGCAUAUAGACGACGCAGACUCACUCAAUCUAUGUAAUAUCAGAUUAAGCAAGCAGUCUAGGAUUCAAUCUCACAGACACCAAUACAACAACUACUAGACUUCAAACAAGUUUCAUCAACACCAACAAAUAGAAUAUUUCCAUGUACUUGAUUCAAGAAAAAGAAUCAAGCCACUGCUGCAAACCUAAAGAAGUAAACAAAAGUGUCCCAUCUCUAACAAUUUUAGUUGUUAUAGACAUCCGAAUAGCACUCAACAAGUUUCAUUGCUGUAUCUACUUAUACUCUCCAAGAACUAGUUUUUUCUACCUUAAUCUUUCAGUAAAUAUCUAAACAAGACAGACUAAAUUAAGCACCAGUGUGCUACAAACAGCACUAAACCAAAUGCAAGUUUAAAUCAGAAACAUCUUUAUUUAACUAAAAAUGCCUUUUGCUAAUACCAACAAAUAGUUACAGAAAACUUUUCCAUAAGUCUGCAUAUCACAUGAAGAAGAUUAUCAAAAGUAAGUUGGUUCUUUCGUAUUAGUUAGUUAAUUACUGACUAUCAAAUGCUCAAUGACGAACUAAUAUGAAACCUAUCGCAGUAAGGAAUUUCUAUAGAAAAUUUUAUACACCAAAAUCGAAGCUAAUAAGUAGAAACAAAUAAGGAGCAUAGAAAACUCAUGAUUAUACACAAAUUCUACAUAUUCAUGAGGGUACUAAGCGAGCAUUGCACAUCACAAGAGCCAUUAUCAAUCAUUGAACACAUAAAUGAAUGAAUCUAUAUACGCAAAUACAUAUAUACAUUCAAAGCAUAUACCUUGCCGGAGCGCUUAAGGUGAGUUGCAUAAGCCUUCACAAAUUCGUGAGGGGAAACAUCUUUCACAGUUCUCGCUGCCUCCAUCUUCACUUCUGCUGCUGUUGCGGCGCUGAUGCAGAUCUCUCUUCACGUUGCUCCCGCGAGGGUUUUUUUGUAAGAGAAAAGAAGUAAGAUGGGAUGCUAG
rnacentral:lncRNA from 1 species